rnacentral:tRNA from 1 species
GGUGGCUCAGUGGUAGAGUGCUUGCCUCUUAUGCAUGAGGUCCUGGGUUCAAUUCCUCAGCACCA